AGCAACCUGUUGACCGGGGUCGGCUGCUCGUUGCAGAGGGUCAUUCACAUCUUGGACAUGGCGGGUCGGGACCGGGUCGUUCACCUGCUUAGGCAACUCGAGCGCGCGGCGUGCAGAUGUCCUGCUCACUCCAACACCUUCCACCAGGGUGUCAGAGCGGCACCCUGCACCGUCCGGAAAACUGACUAUGCCUUUGAG